CGCAUCUGUGCAUGCAGCAUAUCAAUAAGCGGAGGAAAAGAAACUAACAAGGAUUCCCUUAGUAACGGCGAGUGAAGCGGGAAGAGCUCAAAUUUGAAAUCUUCAAGGUUUUACCUUGACGAAUUGUAGUUUAAAGAAGUGUUUUUCUGUUGAAGUUUUGGUAAAAGUUCUUUGGAAUAGGACAUCAUAGAGGGUGAGAAUCCCGUAUUUGACCAUUAUUUUCAGCUGUGUGAUACACUUUCAAAGAGUCGGAUUGUUUGGGAAUGCAGUCCAAAAUGGGUGGUAAAUUUCAUCUAAAGCUAAAUAUUGGCGAGAGACCGAUAGCGAACAAGUACCGUGAGGGAAAGAUGAAAAGAACUUUGAAAAGAGAGUUAAACAGUACGUGAAAUUGUCAAAAGGGAAGCGUUUGACACCAGUGUUGUUUUCUCGAAAAUCAAUUAAAAAGAGUUUGAUUUUGUUGUGUAUUGACCUUAACAGCUUGCAUUUCAAUUUUCUUGCUUUUUUUAAUGCACUUUUCGUUUAACAAGUCAACAUCAGUUUCUUUUGUUGUAAAAAGGUCAUUGGAAGGUGGCUUUCUUUUCGGAGAAAGUGUUUAUAGCCUUUGACUCCUGCAAUCGGAGAGACUGAGGUCUGCAGCGUAGAUCCUUCGGGGUUAGAUACAUUUGUGCUAAGUUAUAGCUUUUUUAUAGACAACUUGUUGACUAUGAUUAGUCUUGUAGCUUACUCGCUUAUGCUAUUUUACCUACGCUUAGGAUGUUGACGCGCGUGUGUGCGUG
rnacentral:rRNA from 1 species